AAAACCUAAUUUGAUUCAAACCCUAGCCUCCAUCUUCCUUCUUCUUCUUCAAUUCUCUUUCUCUAUCGCGACUCCUCUUUUAUCUUCUCCUAUUUCUUUAUUUUUUGUUAUGGCUUCUUGUUUGUAUUUGGUUGGUCACGGUUUGAAGCUUGGUGGUGAGAAAAAUUACAUCUUUAAUGGUGGUUCAUUUGGAACUGAUUAUCAAUACGCGAAUCAGAGCGUUUUGGGUUGCCAAAGUACCGCGAAUCGGUACUCAUGAAUCGAUUCGCGGUUGUCCAACAAAACCGGCGAAUCUGGUUUCUAUGUUCCUACAUCUAUCAGGGAAUUUUGAAGGCUCGAGAUACUAUCAGAGAGGGGUAUGGUGCUCGCUUAGGUUAAGGAAGCUCUUCCUUCUGGUAUGAUGAUUGGUUAGGUACUAGAAAGCUUUGUUAUCAGGUUCUAUAUGUUCAUAUAUCAUAUACUACUCUUCCUCUUGUUGAUGUUUCGGUGGUUGGGGCUUGAGAUUUAUCCUAGUUACGUACUUUGCUUUCCUCUACUAUCUAGGAUGGGAUACUGGAGAUAGGGGUUUCGUCUUCACCACAAGGCAUAAAUAAGAUCCUUUGGAAAGGGGGAAUCUCUAGUAAUAUACAGUUGCAUCUGCUUAUGAGUGGAUGGUUAAUGAUGAUCGACCUGUUUCUAGAUUGUGGAAGUUAAUUUGGAAAGCGUGUGCACCUGAAAGGGUUAUGUUCUUUCUCUGGCUUAUUGGGAAUGAAAUUGUAAAGAAAUGGAUUCUUCCUCAAUAUUGCAUUGUUUAUAUAUACAAAAAUUGUUUAUACACAUGUGUGGGCUCAUUCAAAAUAUGGCGUAAUAACCACAUCUUUGAUGAGCAUGCUUGCCCUCUUAGCUUUGUGCUUCGACAGAUCACAAUUACGGUAAGGGAGUUUAGUAGAUGGAGGAGCUUAGGCAUGCUUGGUAGCUAGGCUAUAAGGAAAUUGAGUGUGAAUCAGAUUGUUUGGAGGUGGUGAAGGUGUUGAAUGAUGAUGUUGAGGAGCACUGGCUUCAUGAUAUGAUCCUAAGAAUUAAGGAUAUGUGGCAAUAGGAUAGGGUUAUAACUCUAUCUUACAUUCUUAGAGAUCUUAAUAUUAUUGCUGAUAUUCUAGCCAGGCAAGUUGCCAGAGAUGGCAUGUCGUUGCAUAUUUGGAACUAACCACCCUCUAAUGUGUUGCAAGCUCUCUAUAGUGAUCUCUUAGUUUUGUCUCUUUGUUUCUUUCCUCUGUAACAAAAAAAUACACGAAACCUCCCAAUGAUUAUCACCAAACUAUGCUUCAUAUGCCUUUACCAUAUUAAGGGUCAGAUGAAUGCAUUGAGGUGCGUGAAAUGAGCAUGUUCUUAUUUAUGCUAUGUACAACCAUCAAAAGUUAUUGCC
rnacentral:lncRNA from 1 species